rnacentral:rRNA from 1 species
UGGCGAACGGGUGAGUAACACGUGGGUAAUCUGCCCUGCACUCUGGGAUAAGCCUGGGAAACUGGGUCUAAUACUGGAUAUGACCUUUCUCCUUAUGGGGUUUGGUGGAAAGUUUUUCGGUGUAGGAUGAGCCCGCGGCCUAUCAGCUUGUUGGUGGGGUGAUGGCCUACCAAGGCGACGACGGGUAGCCGGCCUGAGAGGGCGAUCGGCCACAUUGGGACUGAGAUACGGCCCAG